AUUUUUUAAAAAAUAUGUUUAAUCAUAUUUUUACAUUUUCUAGACAAAUUUGUUUAGUUGAAAAAGGAUCAAUCACUUUUCUCUACAAUUUUAGUUGGUCUCUAAUAAAUCCAAAUCAUAUUCCUACAAUUUUAAUUGGUCCCUAAUAAACCCAAAUAAUAUAUUAUUGUAUUUUAUAUAUCAAUUUUUGAACUCAUAUAGUCGGGAACAAAAUGAAAAAAAAGGUUUCAUCACUCUCUCCCUCUCUCUCCCUCUUUCUCUCUCUAUCAAAUCCCUAAUUUCUUUUCAUGCAUCUCUUUUCUACGGAUUCGAUAUAUGAAUUCACUGGUUCUUCUCAACGAUCUCGUUGAUUGCUUCUGAUCUGUGGUUCAUCAUUGUCUCAAAGCAUCUCUGUCCAGGGCUGGAUCGCUCCGUUGCCGCCUCAUGUAUCCUUGAUUCUCCGAUUUCCCGGCGUAUCUCCGGUAGCGAUUCCGAUCAGUAUGCAGCUGCUAGAGUAUGGACCAAGUGGGAACUAAUGACUGCCCAUCUUCUUCCAAAUGAAGAUAACAUUAAGAAAGGGGAGGAUGACAAAUUUUCAUUGGCAUUUGCAAGGAUUGAAAACCAUUACUUUGUGAAUAAGGGUUUUUUUGCUUCGGAUUCAUUCCUGUUGGAUAAUGUUGAAAAGAUAAGGCAUAUCAACACUGUAAUUGUAUAGGUAUAUCUAUUCACAUAUUAUAUGGGCAUGCUUUCUACUUACUUAUGCAACAAGUAAUAUAUUUACACAUGCUUUCUAGUUUUUGCUUGCAUGUUUUUGCUAUGAACAGUAACAUAUCAGGUGUCUGUCCUCACACAAUAUCAAAUUGCAUGUCAUAUUUGCUACUGUCAAAUUGUCAUUGCAGCAUUAAGUGUCUCCCCUUAAAGAUUCUCUCUAUUUAAGUUCACUGUCUGAUUUUGAGAGAUAUGAUAUGUGCUGCCCUAUGAUGUCAGCAUGGGAUCUUCAUAAAGCUUGGCCAGAGGCAAAAUUGAAGCUAUACAAAAAAGGGUGUCUCCAGAGUCCUGCUUCCUUAUGUCUAAUGCAUGCAUCCACUUCAUUUGUAUGCAUAUGGGGUGGUCACGAGUUACACUAGGUGGGUGUAUCAUGGGGAAGGUUUUGAGUUGAAUGAUAAUGAUGACUCACAAAAUGAAAAUGACGAAUAUCUUGACAAUGUGACAGAGAAGUCAAAUAGCCCCAAUACCGAGGUCCUGCAAGCUUGCGUCGAUUUAAAGCUUGGGAGCUCUCUGCUAGAUUUUGAAUGCCAUUUUAACGAAACCAUUGAGAAGAAGAUGCAAUGAGUUAAGUUGAGUUGAGUUGUUUUGUUAUGUAGGUAGAUAUAAUUCUAAUAACAAUCUGUUCAUUGAAUAGUUGAAUGCUAUAAACAAUGCUUAUAACACUAGCCUUAUAAAUUGGAAAUGAUACUUUUGAAAUCUCUGUCAUAUAUACAAUCAAGAUAUUACGUACUAAUGAAUUAGAGCAUGGUAUUUGUUUGUUAUUGAAUGCGAUGAGCAUUUUUUUUUU